AUGGAAAAAGGUCAAGGGAGCGGAUCGGUGAAGGCGCCGCCAGAGCCGGUCGAGGCGCUGCUUGGAAGGUUAACCCUAGUGGAGGAGGCUGAUGAGGAGUUCGUAUGGAAAGAUGAGGUAACUGAUCACCCAGAGAAGGCUAAGUGGCUGGCCAUAGCCAAAGUGCAUACAACAAGGGGCUUCAGCUCCGGUGCUCUCUUCGCCGACAUGAGAUCGGCCUGGAAUCCAGCGAGAGAUGUUGUUUGGAGGAGGAUCGAGGGGAACCUUUUCACGAUCCAAUUCGACUGUCUCGGCGACUGGAAUAAAGCAAUGAGCCAGGGGCCAUGGUUGUUCAGAAAUCAAGUUCUGCUGAUAGAAGAAUAUGAUGGGUUUGCAAACCCAAGGACAAUCGUCCUUGAUAAAGUGGAUGUCUGGGCACGUGUGCUUAAAUUGCCGGACUGUUGGGGAACGUAG
rnacentral:rRNA from 1 species